rnacentral:rRNA from 1 species
UGGGGAAUAUUGGACAAUGGGCGAAAGCCUGAUCCAGCCAUGCCGCGUGUGUGAAGAAGGUCUUCGGAUUGUAAAGCACUUUAAGUUGGGAGGAAGGGCAGUAAGCGAAUACCUUGCUGUUUUGACGUUACCGACAGAAUAAGCACCGGCUAACUCUGUGCCAGCAGCCGCGGUAAUACAGAGGGUGCGAGCGUUAAUCGGAUUUACUGGGCGUAAAGCGUGCGUAGGCGGCUAAUUGAGUCGGAUGUGAAAUCCCCGAGCUUAACUUGGGAAUUGCAUUCGAUACUGGUUAGCUAGAGUGUGGGAGAGGAUGGUAGAAUUCCAGGUGUAGCGGUGAAGUGCGUAGAGAUCUGGAGGAAUACCGAUGGCGAAGGCAGCCAUCUGGCCUAACACUGACGCUGAGGUACGGAAGCAUGGGGAGCAAACAGG